GACGAACGCUGGCGGCGUGCCUAAUACAUGCAAGUAGAACGCUGAAGGAGGAGCUUGCUUCUUUGGAUGAGUUGCGAACGGGUGAGUAACGCGUAGGUAACCUGCCUGGUAGCGGGGGAUAACUAUUGGAAACGAUAGCUAAUACCGCAUAAUAGUAGAUGUUGCAUGACAUUUGCUUAAAAGGUGCAAUUGCAUCACUACCAGAUGGACCUGCGUUGUAUUAGCUAGUUGGUGGGGUAACGGCUCACCAAGGCGACGAUACAUAGCCGACCUGAGAGGGUGAUCGGCCACACUGGGACUGAGACACGGCCCAGACUCCUACGGGAGGCAGCAGUAGGGAAUCUUCGGCAAUGGACGGAAGUCUGACCGAGCAACGCCGCGUGAGUGAAGAAGGUUUUCGGAUCGUAAAGCUCUGUUGUAAGAGAAGAACGAGUGUGAGAGUGGAAAGUUCACACUGUGACGGUAUCUUACCAGAAAGGGACGGCUAACUACGUG
rnacentral:rRNA from 1 species